rnacentral:ncRNA from 1 species
AUAAUGAUACUCCCUUAUAGCCAUAAUAGUCCGAGCGUUCAAAGCGUCGCAGGCAAUGGGUAGGGCUGCAUGAGAACCAUGCAGGGGUGAAACUCCCGUGA